UACAGAGGUCCCAAGCGUUGUUCGGAUUCACUGGGCGUAAAGGGUGCGUAGGCGGUCGGGUAAGUCUGAUGUGAAAUCUCACAGCUUAACUGUGAAACUGCAUUGGAUACUAUCCGGCUAGAGGAAUGGAGGGGAGACUGGAAUACUUGGUGUAGCAGUGAAAUGCGUAGAUAUCAAGUGGAACACCAGUGGCGAAGGCGAGUCUCUGGACAUUUCCUGACGCUGAGGCGCGAAAGCGUGGGGAGCGAACAGG
rnacentral:rRNA from 1 species